rnacentral:rRNA from 1 species
AUGGUGGCAUGCGCCGAAGGUAUCGGUGUGCCACGUGGCUCUGGGAUGUUCAGACCGAUGUUGCGUGCUGUCGCAUUCCUCAGCCAGGAGAAGAUCACCGCCAAAGUGAACUACAUGAAGAACACGUUCAGAUGGUCGGAUGCUGAGGUGGGCAUUGCUAUUUCUAAGGCUCCAACGUUGCUGACGAGGGAUAAGGAAUCGCUGCAGCACAGGUCCGAGUUCCUCAUCUCCGUGGUGGGGUUGGCACCAGCAUACAUUGCUUAUCGUCCAGCAAUGCUCAUGUACAGCUUGGAGGGCAGGAUCAGACCCCGAUACUACGUUGUAAAGUUUCUCAAGCAAAAUGGAUUGCUAGAUCACGACCGGGAUUUCUAUAAUACAGUCAUGGUCAGUGAGAAGGUAUUUAUGGAAAGGUUCAUAUGCCCUCACAAGAAAGCUGCAGCACAUCUCGCUGAAGACUAUGCCACCGCUUGUAGAGGGGAAGUGCCCGCCAGAUUCACUUUUACAUGA